rnacentral:rRNA from 1 species
UACGGGGGGGGGGCAAGCGUUUGUUCGGAAUUACUGGGCGUAAAGGGCUCGUAGGUGGCCAACUAAGUCGGACGUGAAAUCCCUCGGCUUAACCGGGGAACUGCGUCCGAUACUGGUUGGCUUGAGUUUGGGAGAGGGACGCGGAAUUCCAGGUGGAGCGGUGAAAUGCGUAGAGAUCUGGAAGAACACCGAAGGCGAAGGCAGCGUCCUGGCUCGCAACUGACGCUCAUGUGCGAAAGCUAGGGGAGCGAACGGG